rnacentral:rRNA from 1 species
AUGCUGGACGGCAAGGUCAGGGGGCUCAUUAGCCGGCCUCUCAUCGGCUUCCUCAUGGGCAAGAUAGACCCAGCAACCAUGACAAUGAAGCUAGGGGAAUCAAAGGUGAUUGCUAUUACCAGCGACGCCAUUCACCACCUUUUUGGCCUGCCUCAAGGAGGGCACACGGCCCCGAGGCCUUCGGAAAGCGGCUACGACAAGGCAGUGAUGAAGCUGAAGCUAGAGCUCGGGUUUAAAAGGUCUGAUAACGUCAUGACGAGGGAUCUGCGGGGUCUGCUUAAGCGGCUGGUGGAGGACGAGGAGAAAGAUGAGUUGGCACUCAAGGUUUUUUUCUUGGUCGUUUUCAUGAAGGUGAUCUGCCCGGGGGCCUCCGCGCGCGUCUCUAGGGAGGCAGCAAUGCUGGAAGAUCUGGAUUUUGAUAAGAUGGCGGACAUGGAUUUCUGCCAGCUGCUUGUCGACGAGCUGCAGAGAGCGGUGGUGAGGUAUCAAAGCGGCAAGGCUUUGUGGCAGGCUAUCACGGGCUGCGCCAUCGCGCCCCUCUUGAUCUACCUUGAUUGCUGCAACUUGAGGAAAGUUUCUGAGUUGGAUACGCGGACCCCUCGAACCCAUUUCAUGACCGUUGAUAACCUUAAGAAGAUAGCCAGCGCUGAUUUGAUUGAAAAGGGGGGUCCUGAUCCCCAGACCUGGCUUUACGGCAAAUUACCGUGGAAGGCUCAUAAGGACAUAGUGUACUAUGGAUUAAUUGUUGAACCAAUCUGUUCUGUCCCGCCAAUUGCCGUGCCAGAUCUCCGCGCCGCCAAGAGGAUGCCGUCUCUCGGCUCGGAGACGACGGGGAAGGAGGAGGAGGUCGACCGCCACCGGCAGGAGGCGGAGGGGAGGAUGAUGGAGCUCGCGCGCGCGUGCGGCGAGUUGGGGACGCCCGCGUACCCCCAGUGCCGUUCGAGUGCGCGCCUGCGGCGGCCGGAAGCACCGGCGGCCACGCAGUACGAGUUUGUGAAGAGAUCCACCAAGAGGAAGAGAGCUCAUAGUACUGCAUAUGAAAAUGAAGCCGGUAUGAAGCUUAAGCGGGGAUUCAACCAGACCAUCAGGUGCUCGCUCAAGGAGUUCUUCGAGUGCGCGGAGCUGCUCAAGGACCGGCACCUGGCGAGGGUCCGCAAGGCGGGGUUCGGCGCCAUGCUGGACGGCAAAGUCAGGGGGCUCAUUAGCCGGCCUCUCAUCGGCUUCCUCAUGGGCAAGAUAGACCCGGCAACCAUGACACUGAAGCUGGGGGAAUCAAAGGUCGUCGCUAUCACCAGCGACGCCAUUCACCACCUUUUCGGCCUGCCUCAAGGAGGGCACACAGCUCCGAGGCCUUCGGAAAGUGGCUACGACAAGGCAGUGAUGAAGCUGAAGCUAGAGCUUGGGUUUAAAAGGUCUGAUAUCAUCAUGACAAGGGAUCUGCGGGGUCUGCUUAAGCAGCUGGUGGAUGACGAGGAGAAGGAUGACCUGGCGCUGAAGGUCUUUUUCUUGGUUGUUUUCAUGAAGGUGAUCUGCCCGGGGGCCUCCGCACGCAUCUCUAGGGAGGCGGCAAUGCUGGAAGAUCUGGAUUUUGAUAAGAUGGCGGACAUGGAUUUCUGCCAGCUGCUUGUCGAUGAGCUGCAGAGAGCGGUGGUGAGGUAUCAAAGCGGCAAGGCUUUGUGGCAGGCUAUCACAGGCUGCGCCAUCGCGCCCCUCUUGAUCUACCUUGAUUGCUGCAACUUGAGGAAAGUUUCUGAGUUGGAUACGCAGACCCCCCGUACCCAUUUCAUGACCGAUGAUAACCUUAAGAAGAUAGCCAGCGCUGACUUGAUUCGAAAGGGGGGUCCUGAUCCUCAGACCUGGCUUUACGGCAAAUUACCGUGGAAGGCUCACAAGGACAUAGUGUAUUAUGAAUUAAUUGUCGAACCAAUUUGUUUGGUGACGCCAAUUGCAAGAGGUGCCCAGAUCCGGCAUUCAUCGUUGAAGAAGACCAUUGGCCCCCAAGGGGCAGUGGCUGAUGACGCUCCAGCUCCAGCCGUGGCAGGCAGCAGUAAUGGCGUCGCUCCUGAGUCCGAGAAGAGCAAUGAUAAUGUUGCAGCUACAGCCCUGAAUCAGAUCGACGUGCUGCUGGCAAGAGCAUGCGAUCUAUCGCGCCAAGUGCCUACUUCAAGUGCCCGACUCAGCCACACCGAGGGCAUUCUUCCACCCGGGCACGGUUUUGAUGCUGAAGCCGCGAAGCAGGGCCUCUCGAAGGAAGCCGCACUUCUCUACCCAGGCACCGAGGCCUUUCUGGAUCCCCGCGCCGCCGAGAGGAUGCCGUCUCUCGGCUCGGAGACGGCGGGGGAGGAGGAGAAAGUCGACCUCCGGCGACCGGAGGCGGAGGAGACGAUGGUGGAGCUCGUGCGCGCAUGUGGCGAGCUGGGGACGCCCCCGUACCCCCAGCGCCGUUCGAGUGCGCGCCUGCGGCCGCCGGAGGCGCCGGCAGCCACACAGUACGAGUUCGUGAAGAGAUCCACCAAGAGGAAGAGAGCUCAUAGUUCUGUGUAUGAAAAUGAAGCCGAUAUGAAGCUUAACCGGGAAUACAACAAGACCGUCAGGUGCUCGCUCAAGGAGUUCUUCGAGUGCGCGGAGCUGCUCAAGGACCGGCACCUGGCGAGGGUCCGCAAGGCGGGGUUCGGCGCCAUGUUGGACGGCAAGGUCAGGGGCCUCAUUAGCCGGCCUCUCAUCGGCUUCCUCAUGGGCAAGAUAGACCCAGCAACCAUGACAAUGAAGCUCGGGGAAGCAAAGGUCGUCGCUAUCACCAGCGAUGCCAUUCACCACCUUUUCGGCCUGCCUCAAGGAGGGCACCCUGCCCCGAGACCUUCAGAAAACGGCCACGACAAGGCAGUGAUGAAGCUGAAGCAAGAGCUCAGGUUUAAAAGGUCUGAUAACAUCAUGACGAGGGAUCUGCGGGGUCUGCUUAAGCGGCUGGUGGAUGAUGAGGAGAAGGAUGACCUGGCGCUGAAGGUCUUUUUCUUGGUUGUUUUCAUGAAGGUGAUCUGCCCGGGGGCCUCCGCGCGCAUCUCUAGGGAGGCGGCAAUGCUGGAAGAUCUGGAUUUUGAUAAGAUGGCGGACAUGGAUUUCUGCCAGCUGCUUGUCGACGAGCUGCAGAGAGCGGUGGUGAGGUAUCAAAGCGGCAAGGCUUUGUGGCAGGCUAUCACGGGCUGCGCCAUCGCGCCCCUCUUGAUCUACCUUGAUUGCUGCAACUUGAGGAAAGUUUCUGAGUUGGAUACGCGGACCCCCCGAACCCAUUUCAUGACCGAUGAUAACCUUAAGAAGAUAGCCAGCGCUGACUUGAUUCAAAAGGGGGGUCCUGACACUCAGACCUGGCUUUACGGCAAAUUACCCUGGAAGGCUCAUAAGGACAUAGUGUACUAUGAAUUAAUUGUCGAGCCAAUCUGUUCUGUCCCGCCAAUUGCAAGAAGUGCCCGGCUCCGGCGUUCAACGCCGAAGAAGACCAUGGACCCCCAAGGGGCAGUGACCGAUGACGAUCCAGCCCCAGCCGUGGCGGGCAGCAGCAACGGUGCCGCUCCCGAGCCCGAGAGGAGCCCUGAGAAUGUCGCAGCCACAGCCCUGAGUCAGAUCGACGUGCUGCUGGCAAGGGCAUGCGACUUAUCGCGCCAGGUGCCCACCACAAGCGCCCGGCUCAGCCGCACCGAGGGCAUUCUUCCACCCGGGCACGGUUUUGACGCUGAGGCCGCGAAGGAGGGCCUUUCGAAGGAAGCCGCGCUCCUCGAUCAUCUGCAGAAGGCCACGUUCCACCUCCGCUCUUCCUUCGCCCUUUUUAAGAGCGUGCAGGACGACCGGUGCAGGCCUUACGAAGACGAGGCGAAAUCGUUCGCCAAGCGGAUGGAGGAGCAAGAGGCUGCUGCUGCUGCUGCUCAAGGAAGCGAAAGAGACACGGAGGCGCCUGCCGACGAGCAGUUUGAGGAGAAUGUUGAUGAUCACUUCAUGUCCUGCGACGACGAGGAUGAUGCGGAGGAGGAGGAGGAGGAGGCUGCGUCCCCGGUCUCCACUCCUCCGCAGGACCUGACGGACGACGACGAUGAGGAUCCCGACUACGCGGGGUAG